GAAAAAGGAACUUAUCAGCACGAGAGGGUCAAAGAUACAUUUACUUUCCUCAAGAACAUAAUCCUCUCUAUACUGCAACAUAUCCAACAUAUAAAGGACUGCUUGCCAUCUAGGGGAGGGGGUGGAGGGAGGGAGGGGAAAAAAAUUGGAACAGAAACGAGUGCAAAGGAUAAUGUUGUAAAAAAAAAAAAAAUUACCCUGGCAUGGAUUCUGUCAAUAUAAAGUAAUUAUUAAAUAAAAAUUAAAAAAAAAGAGAAUUAGAAGGACAAAAAAAAAAUUAAAAUUAAAAAAAAAAAACAAAAAAAAACAUAAUCCUCUCAAAAUUUUACUGGAACCAAACCUGUUAUCCCAGAGAACAUCAGAUGGAGGAAAAGGUGUGGCUAUUGGUCUAAAUGUUGCAUCACAACAUUUGGCUUUCGAAUGUAAUAAAAUAUGCUCAGUCACAGCACUGAUUUCUUAGAAUCUGAAUUGGGGAUUAUGGGGAAUGGACAAAAAUAACUCUGAACCCACUGCAGAAGAAAGAGGCAAACAAUAUUCCAAAAUCUCUUCUAUCUUACUGUCUUGACUGCCUUUUAUGAACUCUUUAAGAUUCAGUCAAACCAGCUUUAGCAUUCAUUGACCACAAAACUACUUCUGGUCUAGGUCUACCUUUAUUCUAUUUGUUUUCCCUCUCACCACUACUGUUGCCUUCUCCCUCUAAUAAAAUGUACACUGAAGGAAGGAGCCGUCUCACUUUUGCCUUUGUAUCCUUGGUACUUGUGCAGUAUGUGUGGUGGCAAAGGCUUUGUAAGUGGUUGUCCAGGAAGAGGUGAAUUCAGUUCUUUGGAAUCUCUGCUGUGGAACUGAAAGGCUAGAGGUAUGAGAUUCUAGUCUGUCUCAGACAUAAACUCCUACCAGGGAGAUGCUGUUUCGUACUUAGUGUAGUCCCAACAUCAUUCUUCCCUGAAAUGUAGCUUUAAAACCCUUUUUUUGUUCUUGGUCUACUCCAAACACUGCAAUAGUAAGACUGUGCUGUGCUCCUGGAGUCAUCCUGCUCUUUGAUACCGUCUUAAAUUUUAAUUUUAGUUCUCGUUCUUGUGCAUUGAGGAUCUCCUAAAACUGUUGCUAUUCCUUCUCAUCAAACCUGCUGUUCUUUGUGUCUUCAGGACUUCAUUUUGAGAGUUUCUAAAAUCUCAGUGCUCUUCCUACUUUUGCUAAUCUCUGAAGCCAUAAAUUCUAAAAACCACAUUCCUUUUUUGUGGUGGAAAUCAGAUUCUAAAAACCACAUUCCUCUUUUGUAGUGGAAAUCAGAUUCAGAAUAGGAAAUCAGAACAGCAGUUUGCCUCAACAUUUCCUUCACCAUCUUGGGUAUCAUUAAGACAAAUCAAAAAAUUGUCAGGUGCUGUUUUGAUUGGAGAUGAAGCUUCAUUCAGCUUUGUCUAUAUCAGAGGUAUCACGUUCAGGUCACAGAACCAAAUUAAUGUUUAACAAGAAAUAAAAUAUUGAUAAUGUCUUAAUAUGUAGCACAUACUGUUUCUAUUUAAAUCUGAUAUCGCUGAAGUCCUCAAAACUACUAAAUCGUGUAUCUUAAUGAGGCUAGUGAGCUGUUUCUCAAAUUCUUCAUCUAUUUCCUCUUUUUGUACAUAACACGUCACUGACUUUAACAACUAUUUCCCCUCUUUUCUUUAUGUGUCUUCAAAACAUAGUAAACUUUAGUGGAUCCUGUUCUUUUAAAGAAGACAUUCCCUUCUAGAACCACCAAUCAUGGAAUUCCAUCAGUUCUCAGAGAUCUGAUUGUGUCAGCCCAUGGUUUCACUGCUGACCUUUCAAGAAUUUUUGUUCCUUCUAAAUAAGAAUCCUAUCCCCAAGUGUCUAACCUUUUUAUUGGUGUCCUUUCUUAAACCCAGUGGCAGAUUACAUGAAUUAAAGUCCUUCACCAAUAUAAAAGGCAGUAUUGGAUACAGUGAAAAAGUUCAGAAUCUGAAGUGAAAAGACCUGGAUUCAAGUCUCAACAAUGUUACUGUAUGAUUUUGCGGAGCAGCAGCAAUGAAUACUUCAAGGGUUGAGAAGAGUAUUCAAAACAGGAUGACUUAAGCAUAAUCAAUCAAUGAAGAGAAUUUGGAAAAUAUCAUCAAUGUUUAUAGAGGUUGCCAAAGGAAAAAUGAGAAAAAUAAAUGCCUUAAAAGACUUGA